ensembl:lncRNA
CUUCCCUUCCCUUUUUUAGAACCACCCACCCUCACCUGCCAAGCAAAUAGAGGGACCCCCUGUUGCUCCCCAGCUGCAUUUAAAGAUGAAUUUCAAGCUGAGGGAAAGGGAUAGCACUGCAUCUAGGGAUGUACUUGGUGUGGCAAGUGGAUCUUACAGGCAAUGAUAAAUGCAGUGCAAUCACUCUGUUAUGCUUUGCUUCAAAUGUCCUUGUAUUUCAGAAAGUGACUGCCGUGCAUUACUUUUGGUAGUCAGAAAAACGUAAUCCUUAAUUGGAUCUUUUUUUGACUGCUUUCAGUCACUUAUCCCAUACUCAGAAAUUGGCUGUCCACUUGAUGUGAGAAAGUUGUUCUUCAUCAAGCUGAGUAUGAGCAACUCCUUCAUCUUGUUCAAAGCAUUCUUGCAUCCCUCAGGCCCCAGCAGGAAUGGCAAUUCAUGUGCUUAAAGCACAGUAACCCUUUUUGGAUAUCACCUGCCUGCAGUGAGCAGUAGAACUAGUGUGGGGCUGUCUAUGGCCUGGGUUAUACAUUCCAGCUCUAUCGUGCUUGCUGUGUGAAGAAUGAAGUUGGCUUGUGGCAGCUGGUGGCAUUUCCAGGAUGUAUGGUGGCUGCUGCACCUCAGCUCUGUGCUGACGCAGGGUCAGGGGCUGCCUGGCAGGCUGAGAUAAGACUGUACUUUGUCAAGAUGUUUCCAGGCUACAGAGGCUACAAAACCAAGGGCUGUCUAGAAACACAUCUCAUCACUGUUAGUCCUUUGGAAAUCACCACACACACAGAAAAAGGACAACAGCAGCAUGCAUAUUAAGAGCAGGAAUUAUAUGCAAGACAGCUGCUUCAAACCCUCUUUAAGACCCCAAAAUAACCUUGAAGCUGCUUUAAACCCUCUCUUUCAGGUUUCCCUGUGUGCACCUACAGAAAAGAAACAGUAUCUGAGUUGCUGUUCUACUACACUCCCUCCUGAGGUGCCAGAAUGGUCUCUUUGCAGUCAGUUGUACAGUAAAACUCUUGAAAUUCCUUUAAGUCGAAAAUUGGGUCCAGCCUGCUGUGUAAUGAGCAAAGAUCAGGGAAUCACAAAGAUGUGUAUGACCAUUUUUUGAUUCUCUGAAUUAGACUGGAGACUAAAUGAAUUAGACCAGGAUCUCCAGCCUGCCCUCAUUAUUAUACUAAAAAUAUUUUACUGUAACUUUGCAGAUGGCAAGCUUGACAUAAUAUAUCUUAUAUGAAGUUUGAGAUUUAAGCUAUCCAGUUGGCAAAACUACCAUACUGUAGAACUAAAACAAUACAAAUAUAUUUACGGCAAUUAUUUUGACCUUACAUAUCAGGCAGCAGCAUGAAAGGAAUAGAAAAAUACAUGUAUUUAUGCUCCUUAACCAAAAGCUGGAGUUAAUAAUAACUGAUGUUUGGAGUUAAUUAUAACUGAACUUUGGGGUCUUCAUUUUUUAUGUGGAGGACAAGCCCCCAGUGGUUUCUCUGACCAGAGUUUAUAGCCAGAGACAAGAAAUUUCCCCACCACUGGAAACAUGCAUGCUCCUAUUGAGUCAGUUAGAGAGGGAAAAUUAUUGUAUUGAGGCAACAUGCUCAGAUAAAGCCAAAGGUAGGAUUAAGUUAGUCGUAGAAGGUCUCAUCUCUCCUCCUGACCCCUGAAUAUUUGGAGGGAAAGAGCAAGUAACAGAAGUUGAUGCAAUGUUGUUGCGUUCAAAUAUCUGUCCAGAGUUAGAUCUAUCAUCAAGCAGCCCCCGCAAAUGGAUGAACUUACUCCUGGGAGCUGGAAUUGCGCUAGCCUGGACUUCAGCUGGCUUGGAAAAAGUUUUUCCAUCCUGCAAAACUUAAGCUUUGUCUCCCUUGUCCUUUCUCAGUCCAACAUAAUUUUUUUGGGAAGAAGGCAGUUCAUUCCUGUAGGUAUGUACUUGGAGGAUCUUCCCAGUCUCAAGGAUCCUGGACUGGAGGGGCUGUGCUGCCAUUUUCUGCCUCUCUGGUGGGAGAAGCUCCUAGAAGAGCCCUUCCUCUCUUCUUUUGGCAGAAAUUCUGCUCUGGAUACAAGAGAGUACACAGGUUAUAGUUCACUGGAAAAUAUUCUUGCAGAGCAUUUUGAUUUUGAUGAAAAAGCACUUUCUUUUCCUUUGUGAAUGGGGAAAACGACCCCCACCCUGUAUUAGCUGUGUUUUGCAUGCAGGCAAACACAAUUCUUCCCACAACAGUUCUAUUUUACAUGCAAGCAUAAACACAUUCCUCUUUGUUAUUGGUUGUGGAGUACUUUGAAUAGGAAAUCAUUCCCAGUGCUGAUAGCGAGUGCAGCUUACAGGCAGCUUGUUGGCCUCAUACCCUAUGUGCCCCACUAGUCCAUGGGAUGCUUUGUACUGCUAUGAAGCAGCACCUCUCUUGGUUUCCUCCAUGUUUUGUAGUUUCUUGCUGUGUGCAAGAAGGACUGUGCACUAUGUUUAAAUUUUCAUUUUUUAGCAGGCAUGGUCUCAGCCAUCCCAUGUGACAAGAACAAUUAUUCUGGCCUCUAUCUGUCUAGGUCCUUGCCUCUUUAGCUGCCACCCUUUUGGCAUUUUGUUUCUUUGAUAAAGGCCCAAAGCCAAGCAUCAAAACUGAAAUUAUUACAUUAAUAUGUGUGAACACACAAAUAUGCUUCUGUAGCUCAGAAACCCUUUGUUUUCAUUAUUUCCACUGUCAGAGAUUUCUUGUGAAGAAAGAUUGCACUGGAAGGAGAGACAAAGGUAGGUGGGUGGUAGGGAGAUAGUUAGGUAAACAGCCACCUAAAGAAAGGGCAGAAGAGGCCAAUGUGGAUAGCCUUUGUUUGAACUGCACUGAACAUUAUUUCCUGGAGCCUUUCACAAUAGUCAAAGGACUUUGUGUCUGGCAGGUAAUUGUAGUCUGCCAAGGUUUGAUGAUGGAGAAGCAAACAAAACAUCAUUCAUAAAACAUGUCCACAGUACAUGCGCUACAAUCAGCUGGGUUGGCUGGCUCUGUAGGAAGAGCCAGCAGACAAGACCCGGGAAGUCCCAGCAGCUGUGCUCUAACCCCGAAUGCUAUGUAUUAUUUAUUCACUUUAUUCUGCCUAAGCUGGGACAUGCGGACAGGCAUAAAUGUGAUUUGCCUUUUAGAGUACAUUUGAACAGAUAUAAUAGGUGUCUGUCAGCACCUUUACCUCAUGUGAGGAGCGCUUACCAUAAUUAACAAGGCGAUGUGUGUCAGGGUAGGGCUUGUAGUGUGUUUGCUAAAUUCAGAGCCCUCCAAAGCUUGGGCUCACAUGAAAGGGUGUGUAGCCCAGGGUCGUACUGAGCAUGGGGCCUACUGCAGCUGUGCUGAUCUUGCUUGCCUACAGCCAUCCCUGAGGGUAAGUCCCCUGAAGCCAGGCUUACCUGCUGUAAUGCUGCCAGGAGGCAAACUUAAACACGAAACAGAAUAACCUACAUUAGCAAUAGGACUUCCUUUCCCUGUUGACUGUCUAUAGUAAGAUUUUCAUCUUCAUAAGGAUGUAUUUUUUUUCUUUUUUGUGCAGCCAGCCAAUACUGUUUUUUCACGGGAAGUCAUGAUUUCUUUCUGUCUGUCCUGCAAGUGACAUGAUGUGAGCCUGCUCUAAAGAAGAAAGCAUGUAGCUGCAGUUAGCCUAGGAAUAAAUGUGCUCUGGAGUGUAAUAGCCUGGGCUCUGCACCGACCAUAGCAACAUGGCUUCUGUUUCUGAGCUGUCUCACAUCUGUCCAAAGAGAAGCAUAGGCAGCUGGAGUUUGCUUCUGCCUGGAAAAUAGCAUGGAGACAUACCCACACAUAUUCUGGCCAAUCCUUUAAGCACAGACAAAGCCUAUGAGAAAUGAAAGGGAAUACACAUCAUCCUAGCAUUACCUUACUAUGAAAUUAAGGAUUUACCUCUGUUAUCUUGCUUAGGAAUGGGAAGUAAGUGGUGGGAAAAUGGAUAUUAAUGGUGCAUUCAGAGUUAAUUUCUCCUGUGUUGGUCAAACUGUUUAAAGAAGGAAAGAAAUUCUGCUUCCUUGAGUUGGUCAUAGUUGUGCAUAACUAUUUCUCAAGACAGACAGUCUUGGGUUGGAUUCACAGGCUUUGAAUAGAGUCACUUUUAGCUUAUUGACACUUUUUUCCUACUUUGAAACCACUGACAGACUCACUAGUUGUAUGGUAGACAGGUGACCCACAGAGUCUAAGGACACCUCCUGACAGUAUGCAGCUUAACCAGCCAUGCAAGGUAUGUCUUCAUAGCCACAAUUAGCAGCAAAGCCUGGCACUGCUGAGGAUCAAUGACAUAGUGACAGUUUCAGUGCAAGCUGUCUGACCCAACAGUCUGGCCUUAGCAUCAGCCAAGAAGAACUUGUUUCAUGAUUCUUGCCUCAGCUUUAGUUUCUUCUAUUUGUGCUUGUUUCCAUCUCUCUGUUGUUAUGUGAGCUGUGGAAACAGAGACCAUAGUCUGCAAGGGAGAUUCUGCAAAUAUUUCAGCCUUAAGUUACUGCCAUUUUUAUUGCUAAGCUUCAUUUUUUGUGCACCUUUAACUCUAUGUUGCUUUCCCUGAUGAAGUAAAUGAUGAUACUGAGCAAUGUCUUUUCAAUUUUUGUCUGUGUAGAAAUGAAUUCUAUUUUUUUUUUCUGAGUAUGAUGCUGGCCCUGCAUCUAGUUUUCUUAUGAUUUAUAUUCUGUUCAGAGAUAUGAGCCUUCCUGAAGCCUACUGUCUAAUAAUUAAUUAUGCUUAUUUUAAGUCAUUAAUCUAUUGUUCUGCAUGAUUUUUCCAGAACGCAUCUAAGAUGUCUGAUGCAAUGUUUAUUCUCAGUCCUUUUAAUGCAGGCCUUUUCUAUAACUGCCUGCCUUUAUUUUCCAUUUGCAUCACCUGCAAGUGAUUAUCAAUACAAGCCUAAUGGAUUUACAGUAACCCUUGAAAAAUUAGAUACUUAAGGUGAAUCCAUUUAACUUUUUUUUUUUUUACAAGUCUAGUAUUCUGCUCAACCACUCAGCAGUACAUUCAGAAAGCCAAGUGGACUAAAUGUACCAGCAUUAAGGUCAUCAAGGCUGUACAUAUCAUACUGCCAGCCUGAGGAAUGUUCUGGCAAAAGACCAGCCAAACUAACCUCACCUUCAGAUUUUGCUACCAGGAAUAAUGCAGGAAGAGAUGUAUAACAAAGAAAACCUAUAAAGUAAUUAUGAGGUACAGACUACAUUUAUAACUGCUAGCUUGCAAAAGAAACUUUACUUCUUGGUAAAUAUAUGUGCAUGCAGAGUUCCUUUUCUAUCUAUUCCCACAAAACCUUUUCAAGUGCAUUUGUAGCUGUCUUAUCAAAGUUGAAGAGAACCACCUAGCAGUAUGCAUGUGUGGGAAAUCAUUUUCUUCUGUUCGAGCAACCAUAGUCUUUACCUGCUAAGAAAACCUCCAGACAACUUCUGUGAUUUUCAUACAUAUAUUCAGUUUCAGAGCCACUGUUGGAUAGGAUGUAAUGUAAUGUUCACUUGUGUACUAGCUAUACACACAUACAAUUUCAUCAGUCAAUCACUUUUAAAAGAAUGUGUCCCAUCAAAUUGCUAAGCAUUUCAUAACCUGAAGAUUUAGUUCUUAGUAAACAGGUCACGUGAGUCAUGCAGUGUAGCUCAGCUGCUGGAAGGAGUUGUAAAGUUGCAUUAAAACUGUGUUUAUCACUACAGGCGGAUUUGUGGAGUCACUGAUUUCAUAUUACCCCGGUUACUGCCUUGACUUUUCAAAUAGCUGGUAAUUUUCUCUUGUCUUGGUCACUACUUUCUGAAUAAGCUGUGGAAAUUCAAUGGAGUUGUAGCAGACAUAUCAGUUUAGGAUGCCUCCUACUUAUUUGCUUUUAUAGUUCCUGAAGUAUGUGUGAUUCAUAUUCCAUUGGGAUUGCUCUUUCAUCCUAGUUGAAAACGUCCGUAUUUUUAAUUCCAGUUUGCCCAAAGCAACAUAAGAGCUGCAAGCUAAUGUGUGCUGCAAAAACAUGUUUCAAAAAAAGUAGAUUGUAACCAUUCAUUUGAAUAACUUUGAUUUGUUUCAGCUACAGUUCCAACAUCUUUAAUUGCAUUUUCUAGUAAUGUUCAUAGGAGCUUGUUUGCAAAGAAGUAUACCGGUAUUGCAAACUGUCUUGUAAAAUCUGAUUUUUUUUUUUGCAUAUUCUUACCCCAUAAAAAGCAAACUUGCAUGUUUUGAAGCAAUGGGACAGACACAAUAGUACGUUAAAUCACACAGCAAAAAUAAUAAGUUGUCAUGGUGAACAGUCCCAUACAAAUACAGCCUGAAAUAAGAUUGCUCUAAAAACCCCUCCAUCAGAAAAUGAACAAAUGUACGCAAAUAUAGUAUGCAAUCAGUUAAAGGUGAGGAGUUAUAUCUUUAAAAGACUCGUGCUGUAAUACAGCGGCAGCUGCAGUAGAGACACUUAAUGGAGUAGAGCUCUGUUAAACACCUUGUCUCCAAGUGGUUACAGAGCACCACAUGGUACCAAGAACAAAAAUAGCCUGAGUGGAGGAAUGGAGAACUUAAAAUCUCUGCCUGAGCCAAAACUCUAUGGAAAUGUGGAAGACAACAAGAGGAAUUUCAGCAGGCAAUUUGCUCUGUGUUUGUAAGCAAGCAGGGCCAAUAGAAAGUAAGACCUUCAGAAGGUAGCCCUAAUUUUGUUAGUGGCUGGUUACAAAAAGCUUGUUGCAGUUAAUAGCUUUUUGUUAGGCAGAGUGGAGGCUGACUGCGAAGUGGUAGUACAGAAAUGUGAGGAACCCUUAAUUCCAUGUAAAAAUGAGGCAUAUGUGUGAGAUUGGCUCAGAGUGAGGUAAGUCUUGCAAUUUCAAGGAACUGGGUUCUAAUGGAAGCUGCAAGGAAAAUGCAGAGGAACUACUGGAAAACCCAGAAUGAAGCUGAACAAAGCUGCUAGAAGGUGCUGAUUAUGAAUGUUAGUGCAGAAGGAAGUCACUCAGGACACCUUACAGGGUGAAAUCUACAGGUUUCUUUGUGGCAGCAGGCCUCUUACAGUACACAAAAAUAUUACAAACAAAAAACAUCAGCAGCAGUUUAAAUGUAUAGAAGGAUGAAAAGCUUAUGCUUGGAACAAACCAAGAACACUGCAACCUACAUACUUUGGACAACCACCAUUUGAAAGGAUGGUAGCUAGAAAAAGAAAUACAGAUCCCAAAAGGUAGUGAGUUGCACCAUUUUUAAUUGAUUGCAGAGGUCCCUAGAGUGCAACUGGUGCAGGCAAAGAUGACAAGUCUGCCUCUAGCCCAAAUGAGCUCCACAUAGCAGCAACAAAUACUCUGCCAAAAUAUGAAGACUGUUGACCUGGGAGUAAAUAUGACAGCUAUUAUUACAAAGCUGCACACUGACACAUAAACCACUGUUCCAAGAAAUUCUAUCAAAAGAUCUUAGGAUAAGCCACAAAAACAGAAUAUAAACAGAUAAAGAGCAUUAUCUACACAUCAGGUAAAGAAACUCUAGUACAGUACUAGUACGAAGUACUAGUACAGUACUCUAGUACAAAGCUGAAUGACACACACAUUAAAAGUCAGAUGUUUUGAUUUAUACAACCAACUUGAACUAAAAGUGUUACGCCUCUGAGGCCCAAGCCUAUCAAAAGGCUGCAGCAUGUGGCCCCUACAUGGAAGCCUAAGUUCCUGCCUAGAGCAUGCUAAUAAUGUAUUUGAAGGGAAAGUCUGAAAUACCAACAUUUUGGGGGGGAAAAUAAGUGGUUUAUUCUGUACCUUAAGGAGAUACUUUCCAUCCAUUCAGUUUCAUAUCCUGAAACCUGAAAGCUGGCAGCUUGUACUCAAGAGCUGAAGGGAAGCUCUUGUGUUUAUGUAAAGAUUACAGAUAGUAUGAGAUCAGAGACAGCAUCUCUUCAUGUGUAAUAGCCCUGUAGUCCAGGACUGACGCAGAUCAGCAAAGAGCCAUCUGCUAAGCAGGCAUGCGUUGCUUCCCAAGGAAAGUGCUCAAACCACCAGUUUGAGUGUGGUAGGCCACACAUGAAUUUUUCAUGGAGCCAAAGGGGAUGCCCUGCUGCCAUCUCAGUACCUGAAGCUGGACACUACUGUGCUCCUCCCCUCCUUCUUCUUUAAUGAAUCUUAAGAUACUCCAUACUGAGCAGAUUGGCUUUGGUAAGAGUGCAGCAUCCCACCAAAAUGAGCUUCCCUAAGAUUAGUUGUGGUGCUCUUGAAGGGAGAUGGUGCUGGGGCUCUGGCUUUUUCAGGCCAUGGAGGGAGAUGCAUCCAUAGCUCCUUCUGUGAACUCUCUAGACAUCAGUGAUCAGUGUGUCAGACAAAGGUAGAAAAGCCAUGCAAUUUUGACUGUUUUGGUUGUAGGUCCACCAUGGAUGCUCUUUUCCACCAUAGAAGAUUUGUCUACGACAUGGAGGCAGAAAGGUUUAACUGUGACUCUCUGCUGGGUCUUGAACCAGAGGAAGGAACUCUGGCAACAGUAGCACGCUCAGAAAAGAUGUUUGAGGAACCUUGAGCAUAUUUAAGCCAAAAAUCCAGGUUAGGGAUUCACAGCAUUAGAUAGCAACUGAGUAAGAGUGUUCAGGACCCUGAUUUUCAGUUGCUGUUGGAAUAUACCCAUGUCCCUUCCUUGUUUCAGAUCUUAAUCUUGAUUACUCAGUUUUGCCAUCUGUUGGAGUGGAAUAAUAAUUCUUUUAUAUAUAGGCUUUAUAUGAAGAGAUUUAUGGAACUUAAUUUGUAAUCUUUGUGUUUGCUUUAAUUGUUCAGAAGGAAUUAUAUACACACUAUAUGUUAUUUCACAUGUAAAAUUAACAGUAG